GCCAGCAGCCGCGGUAAUACCAGCUCCAAUAGCGUAUAUUAAAGUUGUUGCAGUUAAAAAGCUCGUAGUUGGACUUGUGUGCGUUGCUGGGCAGUGGUCUGCGCUCAAAAGAGCGUUUCGACUCGCUCCCUCAYCGCCUGAGAUUUGGAACUGGAUCGAUGCGGGCCUUAACUGGCCCAUCAUUGAGUGCGGGUUCCUCGUUUACUGUGAGGAAAUUAGAGUGUUCAAGGCAGGCGUUUUUGCAAUUGAAUAUAUUAGCAUGGAGUAAUAAGAUAGGGCUCCGGCUAUUUUGUUGGUUUUGACAGCGGGAGUAAUGAUUGAUAGGGACGGUUGGGGGUGCUAGUAUUCAGCGGSCCAGAGGYGAAAUUCAUGGAUUCGCUGAAGACUAACUUAUGCGAAAGCAUUCACYAAGGACGUCCUCUUUMAUCAAGAACGAAAGUUGRGGGAUCGAAGACGAUCAGAUACCGUCGYAGUCUCAWCCAUAAACUAUGUCGACUAGGGRUCGGUKGUCGUUUUUACAAAAGACUCCAUCGGAAUCUCGUGARAAAUCMAAGUGWUUGGACUCUUGGGGAAGUAUGGUCGCAAGGCUGAAACUUAAAGGAGUUGACGGAAGGGCACCACCAGGAGUGGAGCCUGCGGCUUAAUUUGACUCAACACGGGGAAACUUACCAGGUCCAGAGAUGUAGAGGAUUGACAGAUUGAAGCUCUUUCCUGAUCACUUCGGUGGUGGUGCAUGGCCGUUCUUAGUUGGUGGAGUGAUUUGUCUGGUUAAUUCCGUU
rnacentral:rRNA from 1 species